rnacentral:rRNA from 1 species
GGAGGGUGCAAGCGUUAAUCGGAAUUACUGGGCGUAAAGCGCACGCAGGCNGUUUGUUAAGUCAGAUGUGAAAUCCCCGGGCUCAACCUGGGAACUGCAUCUGAUACUGGCAAGCUUGAGUCUCGUAGAGGGGGGUAGAAUUCCAGGUGUAGCGGUGAAAUGCGUAGAGAUCUGGAGGAAUACCGGUGGCGAAGGCGGCCCCCUGGACGAAGACUGACGCUCAGGUGCGAAAGCGUGGGGAGCAAACAGGAUUAGAUACCCUGGUAGUCCACGCCGUAAACGAUGUCGACUUGGAGGUUGUGCCCUUGAGGCGUGGCUUCCGGASUAACGCGUUAAGUCGACCGCC